UGGGCCCAAGUGAAUCAGCCACUCUUACCUUACAUAAGAAAAUCAAUACGCCAAAGGUCAGGUAAUACAGAAAUAAGGAAACAAAAUAUAGGUUUAAAGAAAGGGCGUUUGUUUUGCACAAUAUUGUUUCAGUUAGUUCUUAAUAAGAGGCAUUUUAAGAGGAACAGCAAGAAUUAAUGCUAUUUAAUAUAAAUCUGUUACAGGCUAAAGAGUAGGUUUUAAACCCACCAAGCUCAUGAUUUAUCAGCUGCAAUGCUUUCAUCAAACAAAUUCUCGAUCAUCAGUUUUGCUGAGUGCUUCUUGAGCCUUGCAACUCCACAUGACAACAGAUUGAAAUAAAUCCUUGUAAAAUAGUCAAAAGCAGUAUAUAUUAACUAAAUAAACAUUAGAAAAGUAUAGCAUUAUAGCUCACUGUCUCAUUUUCUCGUAAAAAAAAUGGUAAUGACAAUAAGCCUUUCAUCAAACUUGUUACAUGGAUGCAACUGAAGUAACGGAACAAUCACAUUUUACGCAUGGAAUUAAAGCCACCGUAUGCAAUAAUGAAACCAUACAUAAAAUGGAAGCAGUAUCUUGCCCCAUGAAAAUAGAGAAGCUUUUCAUCAAAUACCUUUCAGGCAUUGAAGCAAUAGAUGAAACUUGUGGAGCAAUGGGUCUCUGGUACCAACUAAACAGGUCUCCAACGACUCUAGUAAACUUUCCCUGAACAAGUUCCACAGGAUUUGAAUUUUUCUCCUGAAACAUUUAUCCUACUUUCAGACUUCUUUAGUGUGAUAAAUCCAAGCUCCUCUAAUGCCCACACAACCCAUUCCGCAUCCAGUGGAGAAAAGAUGAAUGGCUGUGAUGGAAUUCGCAGAGCAUAACACCGAGACAAAAUCUCAAUCUGAAAUUGCAUAAAUAGCGUCCGCGGAAGCUAUACAUUAUCUCAAUAAACCAAGUAAAAUAGACCAAUUAUCCCUGUUGGCUAGCAGUUUCAAUGCAACAUAAUAAAAUAUGUGAAAUCUGAAAGAGCUGGAAGAUGGAAAGGUGAAUGCAUAACUGGAGCAAUUUUUCAAAUCAUGCAAAAAUGGAAAAAUAUUUUGAAAAUCAUGCAGAUCCAAAAAUAUUUUUGGAGAGAACGACACCAAAGUGGAGUUCGACACCAUGGGUGUCGAACUCUGCUGCCGAAGAAGCUAACAGCUUGGCCGAAAGAAAUGUUCGCCACUUAAGGUAACGAACAUUUC
rnacentral:lncRNA from 1 species